AUGUUUUAUUUUGUAAGCAGUAACUCACUCCUCACAAGAAUCUUAUAAGGUAAGUACAAAUCAUUAUCCCCAUUUUAGAGAUGGUAAAACUGAGGAACAGAGAUGUUAAAAAAAAAUUGCUUAUCAGUAAAUGGCAGAGCUGGGACUUGAGCCCAGUCAACCCAAGGCUCUAUGCUAUGCCAUCCUGGCACCUGACAUCAAAGCCAGAAGAAAAAGGAAGUUUCCCAUCUCACUAUCACCUCAGCAUAACCCACUGCCACCUGAAAUCCUAUUCUUUGGGUUAAGAAUGUCAGCUUUUAGUGGCAUCUCUAGUUUCCCUAUCUCAUAACCUCACAAAGCUGCUAAUUCCUUUUUUUUUUUCCUUUGAUGAGAGUAAUGCAUUCAUUGCACAGGACACUAAGUACCAACAGGAAAGCCAAGAGACCCAACCUCUUGCAUUCCUGGGCUCCUGAAAGAUAAUAAGAAAGAAAUUGUUCUAAAAACAAACAAACAAACAAACAAACAAACAAACAAACAAAAACCACCUUGGCCUGGCACGGUGGCUCAUACCUGUAAUCUCAGCACUUUGGGAGGCCAAGGUGGGCUGAUCACUUGAGGUCAGAGACGUUCGAGAU
rnacentral:lncRNA from 10 species